rnacentral:rRNA from 2 species
UAGGGAAUCUUCGGCAAUGGGGGGAACCCUGACCGAGCAACGCCGCGUGAGUGAAGAAGGUUUUCGGAUCGUAAAGCUCUGUUGUUAAGGAAGAACGAGUGUGAGAAUGGAAAGUUCAUGCUGUGACGGUACUUAACCAGAAAGGGACGGCUAACUACGUGCCAGCAGCCGCGGUAAUACGUAGGUCCCGAGCGUUGUCCGGAUUUAUUGGGCGUAAAGCGAGCGCAGGCGGUUAGAAAAGUCUGAAGUGAAAGGCAGUGGCUCAACCAUUGUAGGCUUUGGUAACUGUUUAACUUGAGUGCAGAAGGGGAGAGUGGAAUUCCAUGUGUAGCGGUGAAAUGCGUAGAUAUAUGGAGGAACACCGGUGGCGAAAGCGGCUCUCUGGUCUGUAACUGACGCUGAGGCUCGAAAGCGUGGGGAGCGAACAGG